UAGACAAACAGCCUCUAGGGACUGGGAAAGAGUGAGAACAGAAGAGACAAAGAGAGGAAAGAUUAGUAGACAAACAGCCUCUAGGGACUGGGAAAGAGUGAGAACAGAAGAGACAAAGAGAGGAAAGAUUAGUAGACAAACAGCCUCUAGGGACUGGGAAAGAGUGAGAACAGAAGAGACAAAGAGAGGAAAGAUUAGUA